rnacentral:rRNA from 1 species
UACGUAGGGGGCAAGCGUUGUCCGGAUUUAUUGGGCGUAAAGAGCGUGUAGGCGGCUUUACAGGUCAGCUGUGAAAACUCGAGGCUCAACCUCGAGAUGUCGGCUGAAACCAUCUGGCUAGAGUCCGGAAGAGGAGAAUGGAAUUCCCGGUGUAGCGGUGAAAUGCGCAGAUAUCGGGAAGAACACCCGUGGCGAAGGCGGUUCUCUGGGACGGUACUGACGCUGAGACGCGAAAGCGUGGGGAGCGAACAGG